rnacentral:rRNA from 5 species
CUCUUGACCUCGGAUCAGGUAGGGAUACCCGCUGAACUUAA